UGCUAAUACCGCAUACGAUCUACGGAUGAAAGCAGGGGACCGCAAGGCCUUGCGCGAACGGAGCGGCCGAUGGCAGAUUAGGUAGUUGGUGGGAUAAAAGCUUACCAAGCCGACGAUCUGUAGCUGGUCUGAGAGGACGACCAGCCACACUGGGACUGAGACACGGCCCAGACUCCUACGGGAGGCAGCAGUGGGGAAUUUUGGACAAUGGGCGAAAGCCUGAUCCAGCCAUGCCGCGUGCAGGAUGAAGGCCUUCGGGUUGUAAACUGCUUUUGUACGGAACGAAAAGACUCUGGUUAAUACCUGGGGUCCAUGACGGUACCGUAAGAAUAAGCACCGGCUAACUACGUGCCAGCAGCCGCGGUAAUACGUAGGGUGCAAGCGUUAAUCGGAAUUACUGGGCGUAAAGCGUGCGCAGGCGGUUAUAUAAGACAGAUGUGAAAGGGGGCGGGCUCAACCUGGGAACUGCAUUUGUGACUGUAUAGCUAGAGUACGGCAGAGGGGGAUGGAAUUCCGCGUGUAGCAGUGAAAUGCGUAGAUAUGCGGAGGAANCNACCNGAUGGCGAAGGCAAUCCCCUGGGCCUAAUACUGACGCUCAUGCACGAAAGCGUGGGGAGGANANAGGAGUCGGAUACCCUGGUAGUCCACGCCCUAAACGAUGACAACNGAAAGGGUGGGUCUUCACUGACUCAGUAACGAAGCUAACGCGUGAAGUUGACCGCCUGGGGAGUACGGNCCGCACGGUUGAAACUCAAAGGANUUGNCGGGGACCCNCNANANGNCGGGGAGUGGNGUAGGUUUA
rnacentral:rRNA from 1 species